GUCUGUGAUGAGUUUUUCAAAGGUCAGAGCAGAUUGAACCUUUGUGGUUUCAUUUUCCCUGAUUUUGAUUUUUCUUAUGGGGAACCUGUGUUGCUGCAUUCAAGGCCUGUAAUCCCAGCUCUUUGGGAGGCCAUGGCAAGAGGAUCACAAGGUGACUCGAAGAAUUCUUCCAAAAAGCGUGUGAAAAGGGAGCCCUACUCUACUACCAAGGUAAAGCAGCCUGUCUUUGCCUAAGAUAAUACAAGAAGAUAUGCUGUGCACACCAACCAGUGUCGGAGACCUCAUGGCUCCCCGGUAAAGAAGAAGAUGUACCCACAAGAAGAUGACUUCCAUCAUACAAUCUUCAGCAACCUUGAAAGAUUGGACAAGCUUCAGCCCACUCUUGAAGGUAAAGGAAGUCUCUAGUUCACAAGGACAGAGGAGAUGGAGAGAGGCCAGUCAACGUGAGGGUGGUGCAGGUGGCCCCUCUGAGGCGUGAAUCUAGUAAGUAUUCUGGAAUCACUUGCCAAGAAAACAAUCUGGAUGCCAAGAAAGGUGUGGCAUCCUUGCCUGGUUUCAAUGUGAAGAGCCACCCUGAUCCUGGGAUUGUGAUAGGAAUAAGUAUAGGGGAAGUGUUUUUUUAAAACCUGAAUUCCCCAGGGAAAAAUUAUGGCCAAAUUUUGAGGAAGCAGCUGUGCUCCCUUUUGGGUGGUGCUGAGUUGGGUGCUUGAGGAUUGGUGGUGUCUUGUUUGAGGCUGCAUCGUGUGGUGUGAAUGUGUGUGUUUCUGUACAGGUGAGGCUGUGUGUUUUCUCAGGAGAGAUUUCCCACUUAUACAACCCAAUCACCAGUGUCCACUUCUAACAAUAAAAUCCACCCC
ensembl:lncRNA FAM230C family with sequence similarity 230 member C